CGGCACCGAGAAAGGGAAGCUGUUUCAAGAGAUAGGGAUUGUCAGAAAAAGCCAGAGACGCUGGUGUUAAAGGGAAACACUGAGAAUGAGGAGUGCGGACGAGGGUUAUUCGUAAUAGAAGAUGGGUCUUCAAAAGCCAGGAGGCAGAGGAGGGGAAUGCCGUUGGUGGGAUAAAGCUGGAGAUUUCUGCUACGUGCAGCACAUGCUGCUAAUUCUCUCUCAUCUCCAGGAAGUUUCCUAAAACCUGCUUCUGUAACUAGCAGACAGGUCUUCUGGAUCCAAGGUCACCCGCUGGGGAGAAAGAGAAGCCUUUGGAUAAACAUCACAAGUUUUCUUGGAACAUUUAUCCUGUUUAAGAUUUUAUUUAAGAUUUUUUAAAAAGAAGGGAAUAAGGUUUUUUACAAAUAUUUUCCAAAGUAUAGCAUUUAUAUAUGCUCAUUUUAGACAAUUUGAUCAGUAUAAAAUAUUAAAGAAACUAAAAACU